rnacentral:rRNA from 2 species
AAAUUGAAGAGUUUGAUCAUGGCUCAGAUUGAACGCUGGCGGCAGGCCUAACACAUGCAAGUCGAACGGUAACAGAAAGCAGCUUGCUGCUUUGCUGACGAGUGGCGGACGGGUGAGUAAUGUCUGGGAAACUGCCUGAUGGAGGGGGAUAACUACUGGAAACGGUAGCUAAUACCGCAUAACGUCGCAAGACCAAAGAGGGGGACCUUCGGGCCUCUUGCCAUCGGAUGUGCC